rnacentral:lncRNA from 1 species
GCCCAAGCAGUGCGCAUCCGGGACGGCCUCGCUCUCUCCUCGAACAGUACCGGAAGCCGUCUCUCUAGGUCCAGUCUUCCACCCGCGUUCCUCCUGUGCGCACGCGCUGCGUGUCACCGGCCGGAAGCGGCUGCCGGGAGCGGACGUCAAAUCCGUCUCUGCGUUUUGAGCUUUCCGUUUUUGUACGUGAGCGUCUCCAGUCAACAGUCGCACACGCCCAGCGCCUGGGGGUCUCAACGCACGUUAGCGUCGCCUCCCCUGCGCCUCCCACCGCGGUUUGACGUCUCGAGACCCAUCUUGCCUGGGACAGAAGCGCAGAGGAGGCAAGUCCAGGAGUCAAGAAUGACUCUUUCUCAGGUAAAGUCGUAUCUGGGUUCCUUGUUCUGUCCUCUGUGUCCUGCACUACCACUGGGCCAUGCUCAUCUCACUCUGAAGCGUCCCUCCUGACAUGCUUGCUCACGUUCACCCCAGGACCUUAUCUGAGCCCCUCUAUCUCCACGCAGAUUCCAGCUCAUACUUGAACUGUAUGUGUAUUUAAUGGAGAUUGAGUUGCUUGUUACUAUUUUUGAAUAUUUUUUUGCAAGAGGCUGCCUGAUUGACUCAGUAGGUAGAUCAAGUGAGUCUUGAUCUGGAGGUUCGAGCCAGACUUUGGGAGUGUGAUUACUUAGAUUUUUUUUUCUUCACAGUGUUGUUUUUGUAAGCAGGCUUAACAUUACAAUUUUAUUUACCUGUAAUGCAAUUCAUACGUGUUUAUUGUACCAGAAAUGCUGAAAUGCACAUGAGUAAAAAUGAUAUAGAGAAUGAAGAUUUACCUAUAAAAAGAUGUUACUUAAAGACCGUUAAUUUGACUUCGUUUUUUUUCAGUGUGUGUGUUGUAGGUGCACAUGUGUGUGAGCAGGAGCCUGUGGUGUGUAUAAAACACCGUGUCAUUUCAGAAAUAAGUUUGAUAUUUAUUUCAACUUUGAAGGAACUGUUGGCAUUCAGGGAUGUGGCCCCAGAGUUCUCUCAGGAGGAGUGGGAGUGCCUGGACCCGCUCAGAGGGCCUGGUACAGGGACGUGAUGUUGGAGAACUACAGGACCCUGGUCUCCCUGGCUGUCCAGGAACUGGGAUUGGUUUAUGGAAAAGCUGCAGGACAUCAUCUACCGGUUUCCAUGUCAGCAAGACCCUCUUUCUGAGCUGAAUACCAUCUCCACUGUGGAGGAAGGAAGAGCUUGCACGGCCAGGAGUGGGGUGAAACUAGCGGCAAAACCCAG